rnacentral:rRNA from 1 species
UACGUAGGGCGCAAGCGUUGUCCGGAAUUAUUGGGCGUAAAGAGCUCGUAGGCGGCCAGUUGCGUCCGCUGUGAAAUCCCGGGGCUUAACCCCGGGCGUGCAGUGGAUACGGGCUGGCUGGAGGCAGGCAGGGGAGAACGGAAUUCCUGGUGUAGCGGUGAAAUGCGCAGAUAUCAGGAGGAACACCGGUGGCGAAGGCGGUUCUCUGGGCCUGUACUGACGCUGAGGAGCGAAAGCGUGGGGAGUGAACAGG